rnacentral:lncRNA from 1 species
UUUGUGCUGUAGGUCAAUCUGAACAGCUGUAUUCAACCACAACUUUCUUUUCUUUUUUCAACAUUUCAUAAUCUUCUGUUCCCUCAAGAAGGUUGAGAAAUUCUGGAAGGAAAAACUCUUAGUGGCAUGUUUAUACUACUUUUAUAUUGUAUAAAGAAAUUAACUUCUCACUAGCCAAGUACUGGACUGCAGUCAGUACUGAAGUAUAUAGGAGAGAGAGGGGAACUACUGUUAAAGAAUGACAGGGCUUUGACCAAGAGUAAAACUAAGAAGAGGAAAAAUGCGAUGCAAGAGUGCCCCAAUGAUAGAAAUCCAAAUGGGUGGUUUGGGAGUAUAAAGCAACUUAAGAGUGAGGCUUUCUGAGAAAAGACUGUGUUAAAAAGUGUGAAACUGUAAAGCCAUCAAGCCCUAAACUAAUCAAUUUGUUGUUUCUUCUCUAAAGGAAGAAUAGUAAUGAAAGGGACUUGGUCAGCUUGAGGUCUUAAUUAGAGAGAGCUAGACUAGCUUAGAGUUUAGCACUUAGCACUGUCUUGGAAGGAGCAAACCUAUGUUAAUUAACCACCUCUCAGCUGUACUUAGACCAUUGACUUUCCUUUGUUUGAUGUUUUGCUACUGAGUUAUUAGUCCCUGAAAAUUAAUAUCGUCUACUGUAAAUUAACAGACAUAAUUUUAGUUCAAGGGGGAAAGAAGUGGGGUGGACUGGGAGUUUGGGGUUAGUAAAUGCAAACUAUUACAUUUAAAAUAGAUAAACAAUAAGGUCCUACUGCAUAGCACAGGGAGCUAUAUCCGAUCUUCUGGUUCAGACCAUGAUGGAAAAUAAUAUUUAAAAAAAGAAUGUAUGUAUGUAUGUGCGUAUGUAUAUACUGACUAAGUCACUUUCCUGUACAGUUGAAAUUGGCACAAAUCAACCAUACUUUAGUAAAAAAUAAAAUAAUUUUAGUUCAAAAAUCUUUUUUUAGGAGAGAUGGUGUAGUGUAAUGACGAAGAGUGUAAGUGUCACGGAGUGUGACAGAGUGGGGUUUGAAGCUUGGCUCCACUAUUAAAGAGCUGACUACUUUUAACCAAGUUUUGAAUCUCCUGGUACUUCAGCUUGCUCAUCUGCAAAAUGUGAUUUAAUAAUAGUACCUUGUCUCAGAUGUUAGUAUUGGAUGAGUUAAACCAAGUAUGUAACAUUGCAUACUGUCUAGCACACACAGAGUGUUCAAUAAAUGUUAGCUGUUAGUAAUAGGAGGAGAAGGAGCAGCAGCAGUUUGAUUAACCUUUGCAGUUGCUAAAAAUUUGAUAGGAGUUGGGCACUUGACAAAAUUAAAGUUUCUGCAAAGCUGAGGACUAGACUCUGGAACAUGGUUGUGAUCAGCUUUGGACAUGCCUGAGAUAUCUUUGUCUCUUUACUCAGUGAUUUCAGUAUGGGAAAUUGCCACUUUUCUUUUUUGACCCAAUCCACAUAGAGGAAAAUAUUCUGGCACAUGUAACAUGCAAAUACUUAGAAAUUGUCUUCAUGAAAAGUAAAUUUCCACAAACCCCAAAAUCAAAUUCUGAAACUUUCUUAAGGGUUCUAUGCAAAAGUAUUUGGCUAUAGAUGUUUGGGCUCAGCAGAAACAAACCCAACUAGUAUUCAUGAGGAUGCAGGUUGGAUCCUUGGCCCCUCUCAGUGGAUUAAGGAUGGGGCUCAGAUCUGGCGUUGCUGCAGAUGUGGUGUAGGCCAGCAGCUGCAGCUCUGAUUCAACCCCAAGCCUGGGAACUGUCAUGUGCCUCCCCUAUGGCC